AUGGGGAAACCGCUAACUCUGAUCAGGGAGCUCGUCGAGCUGCCACUCAGGCAUCCACAGAUCUUCAAGACCAUUAGCGUCAAGCCUCCCAAGGGCAUCCUCCUCUACGGCCCUCCCGGGUCGGGCAAGACGUUGAUCGCCCGCGCGGUGGCGAACGAGACGGGGGCCUUCUUCUUCCUUAUCAACGGCCCGGAGAUAAUGUCCAAGAUGGCUGGAGAGAGCGAGAGUAACCUGAGGAAGGCCUUUGAGGAGGCCGAGAAGAACGCGCCCUCCAUCAUCUUCAUCGACGAGAUCGACUCCAUUUCCCCUAAUAGGGAGAAGACUCACAGUGAGGUCGAGAGGCGCAUCGUCUCCCAGCUACUGACUCUGAUGGACGGCAUGAAGGUCCACGCGCAUGUCAUCGUCAUGGGCGCCACGAACCGUCCCAACAGCAUCGACCCUGCCUUGAGGCGCUUCGGAAGGUUUGAUCGCGAGAUCGACAUCGGCAUGCCGGACGAGGUCGGGCGUCUCGAAGUGCUCCGCAUCCACACCAAAAACAUGAAGCUGGACUUGGAUGUCAACCUAGAGGUGAUUGCCAAGGAUACACACGGCUACGUCGGCGCCGACUUGGCCGCGCUCUACACUGAGGCGGCGCUACAGUGCAUCAGGGAGAAGAUGGACGUCAUCGACUUAGAGGACGACACCAUCGACGCCGAGAUCUUGAACUCCAUGGCCGUCACCAAUGACCACCUUAAGACGGCUCUCGUCGGCACGAACCCCCUCAACGGCGUCAAGAGGGAGCUGCAAGAGACCGUCCAGUACCCGGUUGAGCACCCAAAGAAAUUCGAGAAGUUUGGCAUGUCGACGUCCAAGGGUGUCCUCUUCUACGGGCCACCAGGCUGCGGCAAGACCUUGCUGGCGAAGGCGAUCGCCAACGAGUGCCAGGCCAACUUCAUCAGCAUCAAGGGGCCAGAGCUGCUCACCAUGUGGUUCGGUGAGAGCGAGGCCAACGUGCGUGAGAUCUUCGACAAGGCGCAUCAGUCCGUGCCGUGCGUGCUGUUCUUCGACGAGCUCGACUCCAUUGCAACUCAAAGGGGCGGCAGAGUGGGCGACGCCGGCGGCGCGGCAGACAGGGUCCUGAACCAGCUGCUCACUGAGAUGGACGACAUGAAUGCCAAAAAGACGAUCUUCAAGGCAUGCCUCAGGAAGUCUCCCGUGGCCAAGGACGUCGACCUCGGUGCGCUCGCAAGGUUCACUUCCGGCUUCAGUGGCGCCGACAUCACGGAGAUCUGCCAGAGGGCGUGCAAAUUCGCCAUCAGGGAGGACAUUGAAAAGGACAUGGAGAGGCAGAGGAUGGGAAAAGACACCAUGGAGGUGGACGGCGGGCAGGAAGAGGAGGAGGUGGCUGAAAUAAAGGCGGCUCACUUCGAGGAGUCGAUGAAGUACGCGAGGCGGAGCGAGAGCGACACCGACAUCAGAAAGUACCAGUCGUUCGCGCAGACGCUGCAGCAGUCUAGGGGGUUCAGCACCGAGUUUCGCUUCCCGGCGCAGCCACAGGCAGCAGAAGCUGCUGUCCACACCUCCGCGGCAGCUGAUGAGGAUGAAGACGAUCUGUACAAGUGA
rnacentral:rRNA from 1 species